rnacentral:rRNA from 1 species
UACGGAGGGGACUAGCGUUGUUCGGAAUUACUGGGCGUAAAGCGCACGUAGGCGGAUUUGUAAGUCAGGGGUGAAAUCCCGGGGCUCAACCUGGGAAUUGCAUUCGAGACUGCAUUGCUGGAGUACGGAAGAGGAAGGCGGAAUUCCCGGUGUAGCGGUGAAAUGCGUAGAUAUCGGGAGGAACAUCAGUGGCGAAGGCGGCCUUCUGGUCCAGUACUGACACUCAAGUGCGAAAGCGUGGGGAGCAAACAGG